UUGUACAAAAAGUAACAUGUAUUGUACUAUAUUUUGUUUAACACUGUAUUCCUUUCAAUAUGCAACCCUUUAUUUUUCUUCUUUAUGAGGCUACACGUAUUUCCUUUGAGAUGCCGAUUAUUUCCCUUCUUCAUAUCUCAACUCUAUUGCUUUUUCAUUCUUUUCCCCUUCCCCUCAGCCAGUUGUUCUUAUUUUGAAAUUUUGCAUGCAGUAAUUUUCUUAUAUUUUAUAAGCCAACAAGCAAUGGACCAACACUGCAAUUGAUAGUUGUACAAAAAGUAACAUGUAUUGUACUAUAUUUUAUUUAACACUGUAUUCCUUUCAAUAUGCAACCCUUUAUUUUUCUUCUUUAUGAGGCUACACACAUUUCUUUAUUUUCCUUCUUUUUGAGGCUACACAUAUUUCCUUUGAGAUGCCGAUUAUUUUCCAUCUUCCUAUCUCAACUCUCUUGCUUUUUUAUUCUUUUCCCCUUUUCCCUCAUCCGGUUGUUCUUAUUUUGAAAUUUUGCAUGCAGUAAUCUUCUUAAUUUAUAGUUUUAUGAAUAAUUUUUGAAUUUUAACUUGAAGUUUAAUAUUGAAUUUUGAGAAUUUAAUUUAAUUUAAUUUAAUUUCAGAGUUAGCUAUAACAUAGAGGGAUCAAACAUGAAUAUUGAAGGUCGAGAAAUCUAUGGCAGAGAAGAAGAUGAAUGAGAGAAAAUCUUUCUCUUUCCAAAAGGGCUAUAAGUGAAGCAAUUUGAGCUUGAAGAACCCUUUUUUCAUCCUCAUGGGCAGCCUGAGCAGCCUACAGUGCAGCUUGAGCAACCUCCAACUCAACAGUUUUGGCAGCAAGUGCAUUCCUUAACCUCUGCACUGGGUUAUCAGCACUUCUUAUGGAAGCAGGUUCAGAGACACGAGCUCCAGAGCAAUAAUAGAUUCCAGAUAUUCACAGACCGAGUUAGAAG